GGGCUGUGUCCCCAGAGGGGAGGCUGGGAGACAGUGUGCACGGAGGGGGCCAGCAGUGAGUCGUCUUGGACAGGUCAACAGCAGGAGGCAGGAGCUCUCCCUCCAGGCAGGGGGUUGAGGAAGGUAAAGAAGAGCCAUGAUCCCUGCUCUUGAGGACCUACUGUGUUCCAAGCCCUCUGCGUGUCUCAGGUGAUCGCCCCAUCCUGGAGGUGGCCUCCGUCUCAUUUCAUGGAGGGCUCAGAUGAUGAGGCCAGGCAAGUUCAUUAACGUGCUCAAGGCCGGGAGCCAGGAAUCUGGACCGGGUCUGCGUGGCUUUAAGCCAGGGCUCUCUCUGUGGCACCGCAUGGCUCUACUGUGUGUGGCCCUGUUCAGCUCGGCACCUCGGACGCAGCAGGGCAGCCCUGUUCCGGGAAGUGGCUCCUACCCUGCGGCUGCAUUUCACAGCCCCCCCCCCUUCCUGGGGGUAGCUGACAUGGUUGGAGAUGGGGGUACAGGGAGGCGGGAAUGGAAGCUAUCGUGCAGUGGCCAGAACGUCAGUUGUACAAGGGAGAAGAAGGGUCCUGAGUGUCCGCAGCACAAGGAAGGAAGGACG